rnacentral:rRNA from 1 species
GGGCGGCGACGGGCCCGGGUGCGCGUCGCUCUCCACCACCGCGGGGUCCGUCGUCAGGACUCGGCUCGUCGCUCUCCUCUCCUCUUCUCUUCUCAGCCUCGGCGGGUGCUGUUUGGGCGGGCGAAAGGUUUAGGGGACGGGUUUGGGGUGUGGUUUUUGGUUUAGUGCGGUGAAUUUUGACGAAGGGACCGAGCAUUGCUCAGCGGAUGGCACGCAAUUAGGCCGCCUAGGUUCGGGGCGCACGCACGCACGCACGCAAGUAAGUAAUCGGGCGUGUUUGUGCCUUUUCCUUCCGUCCGCUCUCCCCCUCCCUCUUCUGGUAGCCUGGCAGGUGGGUAAGCAGGCCGCCGCCGCCGCCGCAUGCCUCGUCGUCGCCUCCUCCCCCUAGUCGCUCGGCCUUUUCGUAGGGGCGGGUCCGUAAAUCCUACCACCUAUUGUUCUUACUACCCAGACUUCCCCAGUUCAAGUUGUGCAGCGUGGACUACGUUUGUUGGCUUCUCCAACGCUCUCGUAAAUAACGGCGACGAAGUCGACGGUGGCACGUUGGUUGUGCCGGCAGACAGCAGAUAAGCAGACCCCUUCUCUCACCGUCGGGUUACGUCUUCGACGUCGUCGUUAAGAGCUUCUAUUACUUUCCCAAAAGUUUAAGUGGGCUUCACAGACCUGGUAUGUUGGGCCUUCAAGAGUGCUGUGUGUUCGCCGUCACCAGCUCCAAGGUCGUCUUCAGUAACCCAUUAUCCACGUAGUUUCUUGGUAGUGUAGAAAAACUCUCGUAUCACUAACAACCCGAAGGAGGAGUCCGUCUAUAGGUACUCGAUCUUUUGUAACGAGAUCCCUCUUUACUACUACUACGUUUCUUUAGUUCUGUAUAUAAACCGUUGUUGGUGGUGGUUCAAGUACGACAUAGUUUAAACCUUGGAGUCCAGGAAAAACGCAUGGGGGGACUCUCCAGAGAAGGCGAAUUCAUGUUCCUAUAGCAGAGCAAGACGGAAGGACCUCCACGUGUCCAAUUACGACAACUUGCCUGAGGUAGUAAGUCGCUCGACUUACUUUAAGAGGAUCCCGUCCUUGUAGAUUUUCUUUCGUUAGUUAGAAAGCAGAAGGCAAAUGUCCAACGACUACUAGGAUGUAAUAUACCUACGACACAUAACCACCUUCUCUAACAUGUUUCUGGGAGUUUCGAUCAAAGCUACGAGUGCUUACUCUUUGGACAUAAAGGUGCGGCCUCAGCAAUACAUCAUUGGUGCGGUGCCACAAUAACGUAGGACAGAUCCGACGGUAAGAAACUUGACGUAAAACCCCACGACGUCUCAUAAGAAUACCUUCUUGCUGAACUUACCGAGUGCCUACCACAAUCGUACGAUUGGAGUAAUAGCGGACUUCUCCUUACACUCCUACCACUAUAGACACUUCCGAGGCUUUCGCAUCCUGUUCUUGACAUAAAACCAACAUGUUGUCAUCUUUUUAGGAAACUUGGUUCGCACCUUCAAAGAGGUUUCGUCGAGAGACUGUACCUGUCGUUAAGACUCACAUCCCUCUUGGUUGACCUGAAGUAGAGGGAUCUUCAGGUUGUCCUUUCACCAAGAGGACAGUUUCUUCUUGUUUUACAAGAACAUUGUCCUUGUCGAUGAGUCACAAUAUGGCGUCUUCUCAGACUGUUAAGACAAAGUCUUCUAUGUCGCUGACCACAUAGACCUCAAUUCGAACUACUUGGCCUAAGGAAUGGGUAGUAAGGCUUACUUAGACUAUGGUUCCUUUUAAGAGUACAAGAAAGUGUACUUCUACACUAACUACCUCUUGAACUAUAGAAACAGUUACUAUGAUAGAACGGCGAAUAUGCCAGAGCGGAAUCACUUCCUAGACUUAGUAGUGGUUCAAGGGUUCUGAGAGGAAGACUUUCGUAUUUAAACUCUUUACUAUGGGGGCUGAACCUGAACCUCCUCGGUAGAAGGUAACCAGUACCUCUGCAUCAGCCCAUGUUGUCAUAUAACGCUACCCGAUUCCGGUUUUUCAUACCUAGAGAUGUUCAACAGACAGUCAUGAUGGUCAACGUCACAGGACAGUCCCCAAGUAGUGAAUUAAAAGUAGGUAACCUCGUGGACGUGAGUAACUUCAAAGUAGCCGGUCCACUUUGACGAGAAGUAGAACGGCCCAGCUGAUAACUAGAAGCCAGUGCACUAUGUUCGAAUCUCCACCGACUCUACGCAUUACGUGAGAAGCGACUUCUCCUUAGCUGACGAAAUAGGUGUACCCGACAACGUUGUUAUACACCUACGGAGUCCAACCUUGUACAUUAAUGCGACAAACGGCGGCGCGAGGACCUCUUUGUCUAACAAUAACAGACAAGAUUAAACCCUUACGAAAGUCGAAGUCAAAAUAGGUAUUAUGGAGAUUAUGCCGGUAUAGUCACCGUCUCAGAUGAGUAUGGCCAAAACGGUUUACUGUACGACCUAAAAGACCUGCGCGGACAAGGUAUGUAACAACCACACGUCUUGUUUUGUGGACUAGACGUUAGGUCCGAUCGUUUACGACACUAUUAACUACGGUUGUUCUUAGUCUAAUUCAGACGAAGUCAUGGCGUUGAAGGUGUUGUCUUUCUUAACGAAAGACGCAACGCCGGCAUAGUAAGUUCUGAACACCCACUUUCAAUAGAGCGAUCCUUCGCGGGACAGAUACUUACGUGUCUACGGGUCCACCUUCGUCGGUUUCCAAAGAACCGUCAAGAAUCUAGGGUGGAACUAAGAGACACGAGGUUGAAUUCUAGAGUGUGAUAAUGGUUACACGUUAGGUUGUUACUGUUCCAAAGGAAUUAAAAUUCUCUCUCGAAGUAACCAAGAAAAGGUCGGGCACUAUCCGGAAAAUACUUCGACAAAGACCUGUGUGUUAACAAGAGCCAUGUAUGUCUGGAUCAAGAGAGGAAAAUAGUCUUCCUGACUCAGAGAGAGGACUGCAAAACUGACAGUAGUCCCUGUACUAAAAAAGUUCCAUAUGCCUCCACACUAGAACACCGACAUCGGAGGACCAUGUGUACCACCCUUGCCUCCUUCAAGUGUUCUCCACUCCGCGACGUUCGUGGCCAGUCUAGUCGAGUUCGGUAGAGCCACGACCGAAAUUUGAAACGAGCUCACUUCUUUGAGUCUUGACGGUUUCACUAGUCUGUACCGACCUGAUUUGGUAAUCUCCCUAAACACCUUAAUUUACAACUACGACGAAAAUUACUCCUUUGUCCAUGUACCGCUUGUCCCCGUUAAUAAGCACUAAUAUGUCCUCGAGGUUAACGGCCCCCAUCGAGUACAUACAGUAAGUAACUAUGUGGCCGCUGGCGAAUUCGCACACGUGAAACACUACCAAACUAGUAACGUCCAUUACAUCCUACGUUGUAUGAGGAUCAGCUUUCACUAACAUACCUUCAUCACCUUCAGUACGUUUUACCGCCGUUAAGAGAUCCACACCGCCGUCGGUAAAUACUUCUUACAUGAAAUGAUACGGCUAUAAAAUGUGCACAUUAAAAGAGUGUGACGGGAUUCCUUCGAUUAUCUCGUCGGGUAUUAGACCGAUCUAAAUCACUCCCCUUGGUAAGAACCGUCCUUGGAAGUCCAAAAUAAACACGACACGAUCAACUACUACAUUGACACUAAGGUCUAGUUAUUUUUAGCGG